rnacentral:lncRNA from 1 species
AACAGUGGUGGCAGCGGUGGGAUUCGCCUGCGUCGGCUACAUCGAAGUGGUGAGUGCCGAGUGUUUGCUCUUCUUUUCGCCAGACUCACUAGCGCAGACGGUCGGUAGUGAAGUAGGGUGAUUUUGGGUAAUUUUGGUUCGCAGACCAAGAAUUGGGUGGCUCGUAGACUAAAUUACCUGGGAAGAGAAACACUGUGCAUCUCUAAGAUGGACAAGUUUAAAGUCCAAGAACUCCUUGAAAUUUGUCAGGAGCUAAACAUUUCAGUUGGCUCGGUAAGACGGAAAAAGCAGAUUUUGGAGCUUUUAGAGAAGGAGGAGGUGAGCUUAGAGGAGGCCAGUGAGGCCAAAGAAGCCUUUGGGGAAAAGAAAGAGCGUUUAGCUCGCGAAGAGAAAGAGCGUUUAGCUCGCGAAGAGAAAGAGGAGCGCGAGCGUUUAGCUCGCGAAGAGAAAGAGCGUUUAGCUCGCGAAGAGAAAGAGGAGCGUUUAGCUCAGGAAGAAAGAGAGGAGCGAGUAAGGAGGGAUCGUGAAAACAAAGAACAUGAAAUCCGACUGAAAGAACUUGAGCUUCGCAUAUCGGCGGGAAAUCGAAGUUCAGCGGGCGGUGAAUCAAAGAUAAAGGAUCUAAUCCACACCUUCAGGGUGGGUGACGAC